rnacentral:ncRNA from 1 species
AGGUUUGGUCCUAGCCUUGAAAUCAGCUAUUAAUUAUAUUACACAUGCAAGUCUCCGCACCCCUGUGAAAACGCCCUUAAAUCCCUGUUAGGGACCAGGAGCUGGUAUCAGGAUCACAACAUGCCCAAGACACCUAGCCUCGCCACACCCACAAGGGAACUCAGCAGUGAUUAACAUUGACCAUAAGCGACAGCUUGACUCAGUUAAAUUUUAUAGAGCCGGCCAAUUUGGUGCCAGCCGCCGCGGUUACACCAGAAGCUCAAACUGAUUUCUAUCGGCGUAAAGCGUGAUUAAAGCAACUACCCCCUUGGAAUUUAAUUUAAACUGAGCUGUGGCACGCCUGUUAUUAAGAAAACCAUAAACGAAAGUUAUUCCAAUUAAACCCACUUGAAUUCACGACAACUGAGACACAAACUGGGAUUAGAUACCCCACUAUGCUCAGUCGUAAACUUUAAAUUACAUCACAUUCGCCCGGGAACUACGAGCUAAGCUUAAAACCCAAAGGACUUGACGGUACCCCACAUCCACCUAGAGGAGCCUGUCCUAUAAUCGAUAACCCACGUUUAACCUCACCAUUUUUAGCCUAUUCAGCCUGUAUACCUCCGUCGUCAGCUUACCACGUGAGCGCCAGUGAGCUCAAUGUUUAUUCAACAAUACGUCAGGUCAAGGUGCAACUCAUAAAAUGGAAAGAGAUGGGCUACAUUCUCUAACAUAGACCAAACGAAAGACUACCUAUGAAACCUAGUCGGAAGGCGGAUUUAGCAGUAAAUAGAAACCAGAAAGUCCUUUUUAACUCGGCACUGGGGUGUGUACACACCGCCCGUCACCCUCCUCCUACGCUAAAUAAAAGUUUUUAACAAAUUUCAGCUUUUCAGAAGAGGCAAGUCGUAACAUGGUAAGUAUACCGGAAGGUGUGCUUGGAAU